rnacentral:rRNA from 1 species
GAUGAACGCUGGCGGCGUGCCUAAUACAUGCAAGUCGAGCGAACGGACGAGAAGCUUGCUUCUCUGAUGUUAGCGGCGGACGGGUGAGUAACACGUGGAUAACCUACCUAUAAGACUGGGAUAACUUCGGGAAACCGGAGCUAAUACCGGAUAAUAUUUUGAACCGCAUGGUUCAAAAGUGAAAGACGGUCUUGCUGCCACUUAUAGAUGGAUCCGCGCUGCAUUAGCUAGUUGGUAAGGUAACGGCUUACCAAGGCAACGAUGCAUAGCCGACCUGAGAGGGUGAUCGGCCACACUGGAACUGAGACACGGUCCAGACUCCUAUGGGAGGCAGCAGUAGGGAAUCUUCCGCAAUGGGCGAAAGCCUGACGGAGCAACGCCGCGUGAGUGAUGAAGGCCUUCGGAUCGUAAAACUCUGUUAUUAGGGAAGAACAUAUGUGUAAGUAACUGUGCACAUCUUGACGGUACCUAAUCAGAAAGCCACGGCUAACUACGUG